GAACGCAACGGACACAGAAGGGGGCGGAGCCACGCGCGGGACGGCUCCUUCGGUAGCUGGAAAAGGGUUUAGAGAUCCCAAUCCUGCUCCGACUUCGCUCUUGAAGCGGCUUCGGGAGAGCGGAGCCCCUGCGGCAGCGGCGCCGGCGCCGCCUCAGCGAGCUGGCGCCCGCACGCUAGAAGGCGGAUCGCAGCAGCGCGUUCUACAGAAUUGGCGCACACUGAGUGGAGCCGAAUGGAGCCAAGCGGAGCGGAACCAAAGCCGAUCCGAGCGGAGCCGAGCGGAGCCUAGCGGGGCGGAGCCGCCGUCCUCUUGGGGCGGGGAAAGGAAAACCUGUGGAAGCUGAAGGUUGUCCUCCAGGCAUUGCAGUGCUGGGAUUGUGAGCUUGAGGCAAGGUUUGGUGAUCUCAAAGGUCUCUUCCAGCCUGAGCAGAGCUGUGGUUCCAUGAUUCUGAAAUGCCAAUCAGGAGAGGGCAGUUAGUGUCAGCUGCAUAUAAUUUAAUAUUUACUUAUUUACUUCAUGGCUCUUUAUUAUGCUCAAGGAAUCUGCACAAGGCUGCCCAGGGAGGUGGUGGAGUCACCGUGCCUGGAGGUGUCCAAGCAGUGAGAUGGAGGUGCACCCUCAGCAAGUUUGCAGAUGGCCCCAAGCCGAGUGGUGCUGUGGAGAAAGCAGAGGGACCAGGAUGGUAUCCAGAAACCACCUGGGCAGGCAGGAGAGCUGGGUUGGGAGUAAGCCUGCCUGUCACUGCAGGCUGAGGGUGGAGGUGAUAAAAAGCAGCCCUGAGAAGGCCUUAGGAGUGCUUGGGAGAAGUUGUCUGAGCAGACUGUGUGAGCUUGCAGGCCAGAAGGAGUCUGUCAGAGGCGUGUAGGUGUUUGCAGGCUUCUAUAGAGGUCUUCAGGCAUAUGCAGGGGCAUGUAAAAGUCUGUGCAUGCCUGUGUGUGUCUGUAGGGGCCCGUUAGAGGUCUGUAGGGUUCUACAGAGGCUUGUAGAGGUCUGCAUGGGUCUGUAGGUGUCUUUGUGGGUCUGGAGGAGUCAGUAGUUAGAUUUUAGGGGUUUGCAGGGAUCUCCAGAUACCUGUAGGCAUUUGUCGGUGUUGUGAGAAGUCUUUGAGUGUCCGUAGGCAUCGCGGGUGGAGUCGAAGGGAGCGGAAGUGAAGCUGCGCCGGCUACAGCCGAGCGGCGCUGAACAGAGCUGCAGGCAGGCAGGGCCUUUCGGGCCGAAGGGAAGCCUCACGCAUUCCCCGGCAGAGCUGCGUUCUUUUUGUCUCACAGCAGAGGAGUUUGGGCAAGUGCUUGGAGAGUACAAGCCCGCAGUGGUGUGCAGUGAUGGUGCUGUGCAGGCCAAGGCAGGCUUUGAGCAGGCUGUCCGAAGGAAGCAGCUGUCCGGUGCCGGCAGAAGCUGGAGCGGAAGCUGGCAGCCCAGCACAGGUCUCUCCAGCAAGCAUGAAAUGAGCUGAAGGAGCAUCAGAAGCAGCAUGGCCAUUUCCCCAGGCAGCAGGAUGUUUCAGACAAGCACAAGCUCAUCCGGAGGAGCAGAUGCUGAGGAACAUCCCCCACGAGACGCAGGUGGCCAAAGAGGCUGGGUCAGCUGUCUCUAGGGGUCUGCAGCACCUCGUCAAUGUCUGCAGGGGUCUGCAGUUGUCUGCUGCUGCAGGAGGAGUGGGCUCGCGGAGCCACGCCCCCCGAGCUGUGGAGCCACGCCCCCUCCCUGGCCUUUCUUGCCUGGCUCUGGUUGCUGCCACUUUAUUUGUAUAGCCCCACCCCCUUUCCCCUUGCUGUCUAGUCCCCGCCCCUUUCUGAGCCACACCCCUUCCCUGUUCUGUCCAGUCCCCGCCCCUCCAUAGCCACGCCCUCUCCCCCAUGCUGUGCCUGGUCCCGCCCCUUCUGCCCCGCCCCCAGUAACCAAUAAAAUGGUGACAGAUUUGGAGCUUCCUUUGGAGGAGGAGUUCAGGAGGUGGCUGCUGAUUGGUGGAUUGUGGUGGGCGUGGCCUGCCACUUGUUCUGCCUUCCUCAUUUGCAUACAUUUCAAUAUCAGGCUCUGCCUUUGAGUACCUUGGACAUGUGUUGGGGGUUGGGGAGGGGUUACUGGGAGGGUCAGCAGCUGAUUGGUGGAUCCUGUGGGGGCUGUGAGCAUGGUCACCCCU